GUGCAAAGCAGAUGUUCUUUCGCUGAGUGACAGGCUCAGUAAGAUAAGUGCUGAAAAAACACACGGUGUGUGCUCAGGCCUAUCUCGCCGGGGUGUUUGCUGCGAACUGCCUUGGCCGGCUCUGACCCUUAUCUGACCUCCCCGUCGGAUGAACCUGGCUCCUGAUCCUGGAGGAUGCCUGAGCCCUGGAAAUGCUAGACGUUCUAACAACAAGCCCUCGCCAAAGCCUGACAGCUCAGCGUGGGACAGCAAGUGGAAAACUGGACACUGUGCAUCCAUCCAUGUCCUCCUGCAGCAGCGUCCAGGGUGGAAACUUCAACUGGCGCAUGCACCCAAGUUGGCGGCUGUGGAAAACCAGGCAGGAGCUACACAAUGUCCAGCACAUGCAAGUGCCAACACUUUGUCCCUGCAGACAUGCCAAGGAUGACUGGAGCCACUGCCAGUCAGUGUAGGCAAUACUAAGUGGACCAGGAGGUCUGAGUAUAAGGCAGUUUUUUUCUGUUCCCGAGGUAGCAUGAAUAAGAUCUGAAGGGAAACCACAAAAUUCCAUCAGUCCAGGAUCCACAUUCAUUUGAGUGCCCUUCCCAAGGACCACAUGCCCAUGGCGGACUGGGCCAGAGGCAAAAUCAGGAAGAGCAACGUACAGAAGUUUUACCUCAGUACAGGCAGUUUCUAUGCACACUCGCACACCCCUCUCAUCCGAACCCCUGGGCCAUCUGAAGACAAUCAUGUAUAGGUAUUUUUUU